rnacentral:rRNA from 1 species
UACAGAGGUCUCAAGCGUUGUUCGGAUUCAUUGGGCGUAAAGGGUGCGUAGGCGGCGCGGUAAGUCGGGCGUGAAAUCUCGGAGCUUAACUCCGAAACUGCAUUCGAUACUGCCGUGCUUGAGGACUGGAGAGGAGACUGGAAUUUACGGUGUAGCGGUGAAAUGCGUAGAUAUCGUAAGGAAGACCAGUGGCGAAGGCGGGUCUCUGGACAGUUCCUGACGCUGAGGCACGAAGGUCAGGGGAGCAAACGGG